AAAGACAGACUCGAACAGAUGGAGGCUACCAGAAACCAACGCAGACAGAGAAAGAAGUGUAGAAUAAAAAAUCAGGCUUCAAAGUUUUCCGGAAUCAGAUACAUUGAACAAAAGUGUUUAAAACUUGAACAAAAAAUCGCCUCACAACAAUUCAAUCAUUUCUUCAAUCUAUCUCACUCGAAUCCACCAAUUCAGAGUUUUGAAAAGUGAAGUGGAAGAUAUGGAGGAGUUAGAUAAGGAAAAGGAUAACUAUUAACGCUUUCAAAGCCCGUGAUAUUGAUGAAUUGAAGGCGUUUGAGACUGAAUGUGUGCGAGAGUUGAGGAAUUGUUGGAAUAGGUGUAACUUCUUAACUGCACGCAGCCUAAACUUCAAUGUCAGAAAGCACAUAUGAACUUACAAGGGGAGGAGUAUAAAACAUAGGACCAGCAUUUUCUGCAGGCCAAUGGCCAUCCUUUGCUUGGAUUGCACGGUUCAAGCGGACUGCUUUUUUUACUGCUACGGUAACUGCUUCAUAGUUCACUUCAUCGUCCUCUCUCAACCUCGCCGGGGGUAUGCUCAACACAUCAAUACCAUUCUCCUUGAUCAGCUGCAUAUAUUUAUAACAGGAUGCAUAUAUCAUACAACUAUUGUUGUAAAUUACGAGUAGUAUAUAGCCACAAAGCUUUCCUACCUAUUUUAUGUGAAAAUAUUUGGUCCAAUAUAUAUAAUUCUGCAUCAUAAUAUAUAAGGUAACAAGUUA